UACGGGGGGAGCAAGCGUUGUCCGGAUUUACUGGGCGUAAAGAGCGCGCAGGCGGUCGUUCAAGUCGAGUGUGAAAGCCCCCGGCUCAACUGGGGAGGGUCAUUCGAUACUGAUCGACUCGAAGGCAGGAGAGGGAAGUGGAAUUCCCGGUGUAGUGGUGAAAUGCGUAGAUAUCGAGAGGAACACCUGCGGCGAAGGCGACUACCUGGCCUGUUCUUGACGCUGAGGCGCGAAAAGCCUAGGGGAGCAAACUGGG
rnacentral:rRNA from 1 species